GAGUUUGAUCCUGGCUCAGAACGAACGCUGGCGGCAGGCUUAACACAUGCAAGUUGAACGCCCCGCAAGGGGAGUAGGCGCACGGGUUGAGUAAUACUUGGGAACGUGCCUUUCAGUCUGGGAUAACGUCGGGAAACUGACGCUAAAACCGGAUAUUCUCUCCGGAGGAAAGUUUACGCUGAAAGAUCGGCCCAAGCCAGAUUAGCUAGUUGGUGAGGUAAUGGCUCACCAAGGCAACGAUCUGUAGCUGGUCUGAGAGGACGACCAGCCACACUGGUACUGAGACACGGACCAGACUCCUACGGGACGGCAGCAGUGGGGAAUAUUGGACAAUGGGCGAAAGCCUGAUCCAGCCAUGCCGCGUGAGUGAUGAAGGCCUUAGGGUUGUAAAGCUCUUUUGUGAGGGAAGAUGAUGACGGUACCUCAAGAAUAAGCACCGGCUAACUUCGUGCCAGCAGCCGCGGU
rnacentral:rRNA from 1 species